AAGUCUUCAUCUGCCCUGUUCUGACACAGAUCAGAGCACUCAAAUACUCUCCUCCUCCCCUUGGUUUGCAGGUGUGUGUGUGUGUGUGUGUGUGUGUGCAAACCUGGCCUCAGCAAAGCACCUGCUGCUUCUGCAAAUGGCUGAUUGCUUGAGUCAUUAACCCUUGUCAUUCCAGUCUCUCACACUGGCCCAUGGUUUGUUCUCUUCAUGCUUUCCCCAGGUCAGAUACUCCUUGCCUGGGCAGAAGCUGGACCUGACCCUGGAGACAUUCUGUUUGCUUGGCUAUCAGGGCAGUGUGAUAGCUUGGCAUCAUGGCUCUCAGCAGCUGCUGACAAAACCAGCUGUGACACAGCAGUUCUGCCCAUUUAUGCAUAGAUUUUUAUGCAGACCAGUCCCUGCAAACCUGUGCAAAAUGAGAUGACUUUGCUGAAUCAAAACAGUACUGUAAAAGACUACUCAUACGUGCAGGAUCCUAUCAGUACUUUUGGAAAAUGUGUGGGUAUUGAUGUGAAAACCAAAAUAAGUAUGUUGAAAACCCACAUAUGAAGCUUCUGCAGGACAUUUCUAGAGCCAGGAAAAACAUUCAUCAACAUUUUUUCUCAAAACAACCAGCAGUACCACAAGAAACAACAGCUCUAAGGACAGACACUCCAUUGCUGAAUAUAUAUUGAAUGAUGUGUCUGCUACUACCAUCCAUUCUCCUGACAUUCUACUAGGAAUUUGGUGCACUGCCUGAAAACCUUCCAGGAAAUCUGAGAGGGUUAAUUCUUAAGUCACAUAUUUGAUGUCUAUGGGAAGUGUUGUUUGCCCUUCUGAUGAAUCUUCCUCAGCUUUCUUGCUUGGAGAAGUUCAACACCUCUGUGUUCAGCAAAUAAUUUUCUUUUAAGACUAAAAGAUGAUGUGUGUGUUUCAAACACUUUACUCAAGCAACUUUUCAAGAAGCAUUAGUUUCUUGAGAAGCUGAAUUAAUCUGAUUUAAAGGCUAUUCAAUUUUUAUGAAAUAAAAGCAAAUUUAGUCAAUCA
rnacentral:lncRNA from 1 species